AUACAGGAAUCUGCUGGCUUUGUGUUUACAGAAGUACCUGACUAUGCCGGACUUUUGUGCAGCCUACGGAUGCUCUAAUCACCGCAGUCUGCAAACAAGAACCCGUGGGAUCACCUUUCACAUGUUUCCCAAAACCGAAGAGAGGAGGAGGCAGUGGGAACUCGCCCUAAGAAGGGACAUCUUCAGGUUCCAUGAGACGCAGCACUAUGUUCCCCACAUAUGUUUAUGUUUGCUCAGUCUAAUAAACCCAUAACAUGGUUGUGAAAGAAUACCAAA